GCAAGUGGUUUCAGUAGCCCAUGACCACACUACAUGUGUUUCCUGGGGCCUGGAGUUGCAUGGGAGAAGCUUCUGGCAAACACAUGAGGAUUUGGAUUUGAAGCACAGUAGCGUUACACCAAACGGACAUGCUGACUCUGCCCUCAGAGGCCUCUGUAGUUCAGGCAUCUGCACUGAAACAUUCUGGAUUUCACUGGGCAUGGUGCCUGGUGGUGACGACUGUACAAUCUGCUACCAAAGCAAAUUUUAGAGGAGGUGGCUGACCAGUGGCUAUGGCUGCUUUCUACAUAUAAAUGAUAUUGUGUGUAUCUGUUUGACCAUGGUAGGAUAUUUAAUGUAUUGUAGAAACAAGCUUUGUACCUCCAGACUUGGUGUCACUUUCAUCACGGAUCCUUUCUUCCAAACGUAUUUUCCCUCAUUUCAGCCUUGGUAUCUUUUUAAAAAAAACUUUAAAAUGUAGUUUUCUAUGAAAAAUAUACCCUACUGUUGUUUCUUUUCUUUCUUUUUUCUUUUUUCUUUUUUUCUGAAAAAGGGAACUUUAUUGUAAGCACUGUUGUUUAAGUGAAGUAUAGUGUACAGGAUGUUAAGUAAGUGCUCAGCCAAAUGUCAUUGUGAACCCAUAAAUCCUUAGCAGAAAAAAAAAUAAAUAUUUUUAUUUUCUCUGAAA